rnacentral:rRNA from 1 species
UACGAAGGGGUCUAGCGUUGCUCGGAAUCACUGGGCGUAAAGGGUGCGUAGGCGGGUCUUUAAGUCAGGGGUGAAUACCUGGAGCUCAACUCCAGAACUGCCUUUGAUACUGAGGAUCUUGAGUUCGGGAGAGGUGAGUGGAACUGCGAGUGUAGAGGUGAAAUUCGUAGAUAUUCGCAAGAACACCAGUGGCGAAGGCGGCUCACUGGCCCGAUACUGACGCUGAGGCACGAAAGCGUGGGGAGCAAACAGG